UACAGAGGGUGCGACGACGUUAAUCGGAUUUACGUGGGCGGUAAAGCGUGCGUAGGCGGCUUUUUAAGUCGGAUGUGAAAUCCCCUGAGCUUAACUUAGGAAUUGCAUUCGAUACUGGGAAGCUAGAGUAUGGGAGAGGAUGGUAGAAUUCCAGGUGUAGCGGUGAAAUGCGUAGAGAUCUGGAGGAAUACCGAUGGCGAAGGCAGCCAUCUGGCCUAAUACUGACGCUGAGGUACGAAAGCAUGGGGAGCAAACAGGAUUAGAUACCCCGGUAGU
rnacentral:rRNA from 1 species